CCUACGGGCGGCAGCAGUGGGGAAUAUUGCGCAAUGGGGGCAACCCUGACGCAGCCAUGCCGCGUGAAUGAAGAAGGCCUUCGGGUUGUAAAGUUCUUUCGGUAGCGAGGAAGGUGGUUAGUUUAAUAGGCUAGCCAAUUGACGUUAACUACAGAAGAAGCACCGGCUAACUCCGUGCCAGCAGCCGCGGUAAUACGGAGGGUGCGAGCGUUAAUCGGAAUAACUGGGCGUAAAGGGCACGCAGGCGGACUUUUAAGUGAGGUGUGAAAGCCCCGGGCUUAACCUGGGAAUUGCAUUUCAGACUGGGAGUCUAGAGUACUUUAGGGAGGGGUAGAAUUCCACGUGUAGCGGUGAAAUGCGUAGAGAUGUGGAGGAAUACCGAAGGCGAAGGCAGCCCCUUGGGAAUGUACUGACGCUCAUGUGCGAAAGCGUGGGGAGCA
rnacentral:rRNA from 1 species